CUCUGGUGGGGGCCAAUUCUGGUGGAGGGCAAGUCUGGUGCCAGCACCCGCGGUAAUUCCAGCUCCAAUAGCGUAUGUUAAAGUUGCUGCAUUUAAAAAGCUCGUAGUUGUAAACUGGGACAGAGCCAUCUUAACCCUAUAAAUUUGGGUUAUUUUGGAUGGAACGAGUACUCUUAAAUGGUUUGAAUUGACAGAUAUCUCUAAUCUCAUUUUUUUGGGUUUUAGAAUAUUUGUAUAAUUGUAUCAUCAUAUUACCUUGAAGAAAUCAAAGCGCCUAAAGCAGGUAUUAGGCUAGAAUGAAUUAGCAUGGGAUAAUGUAAAAAGACUUUGAUCUUGAUUUGUUGGUUUCUACAAGCAAUGUACAUGAUUAAUAGGGAUAGUUGGGGCCACUUGUAUUGAACCGUCAGAGGUGAAAUUCUAGGACCGGUUCAAGACAAACUACUGCGAAAGCAUCUGGCAAGGAUGUUUUCAUUAAUCAAGAACGAAAGUUGCGGGCGCGAAGAUGAUCAGAUACCGUCGUAGUCGCAACUAUAAACUUUGUCGCCCAAGGGGUAGUGGUAGUUACAUGAUGACACCCCUAUAACUUUGUGAGAAAUCACAAGUAUUUGGACUCUGGGGGAAGUAUGGUCGCAAGGCUGAAACUUAAAGGAAUUGACGGAAGGGCACCACCAGGAGUGGAACCUGCGGGACUCAACACGGGGAAACUUACCAGGUCCAGACACAAUAAGGAUUGACAGAUUGAUAGCUCUUUCUUGAUUCUGUGGAAAGUGGUGCAUGGCCGUUUUUAGUUGGUGGAUUGAUUUGUCUGGUUAAUUCCGUUAACGAACGAGACCUAAACCUACUAACUAGUUAAUGGUAACUUGGACUCUAUCUAGAGACCUCAUAUUUAUCCAAACUUCUUAGAGGGACUCUUUAUACUUAGUGAAUGGAAGUUUUAGGCAACAACAGGUCUGUGAUGCCCUUAGAUGUUCUGGGCCGCACGCGCGUUACAAUGAAAUGCUCAAUGAGCAAUAUCCCUUGCCCUAAGGGGCUUGGGAACCUGUGUAAAGUUUUUCAAGAUUGGGAUAGGUCAUUGUAAUUAUUGACCUUAAACGAGGAAUUCCUAGUAAAUGUAAGUCAUCAACUACGUUGUACGCCCGCCUG
rnacentral:rRNA from 1 species